UGUAAUGGCUGAUGUCAUUUCCCUCCCCUUCUUAAUCUGAGACUGAUAUGAAUAUUCACACCAAGUAUUUUUGGUUUUAGGUGAUACUAGGUCUGUGGGAUGGCUCAACACUUGCUGCCAAAAGCUCGACUCACUUCCUGAGUUUGAUUCCUGGAACUCAAAGCAGGAAGAGAAAACCAAAACUUGUCCUUUGGUUUCUACACAUGUUCCAUGCAUGUGUGUAUCUGCACUCCCCAUACACAUUUCAGACAGUGGUCCACCUCUCCCAGCUCCUCCCAUCACGUCGGACAUGAUUUCCCACCUCUCCAAGCACUUUUCUGGAAGCCUCUGAGGAGCUGACUGAAGCGUCCGACUGCUGCUGCUUGAGCCUGACUCGAGAGCUUGUAUGAAGAAGGCAUGGGAUGGCAUCUUGGCUUCUUAGCAUCGCCUCUGUCAGUGUUUGGCCUUUUUAUUUAGGAAGGGAUGGAGUCACCCAGGGUCUGGCCAGCUUUCACUGUGGCUGCAUGGUGGUAGAACUCAGUGUACUGCAAUGGCUGUGGAAGUCGGAACCAGGCACUGUCUUUUUUGUUGGUUUUUCUUUUAAGACAAGGCUUCCUGAUUUUUUUUUUUUUGCUCCAGGCUGGCACAUAGAGCAGUGGAAUUUUUCUUUAACCAACAGUGAGAGUUUUUCUAGGACAUCAGCUUCCAAACUUUAAAAAAGUUAACUAGGGGUUGGGGAGAUGGCUCAGUUAGGAGCACUGGUUUGGUUCAACACAC